AAUAGAUACCCCGGUAGUCCACGCCGUAAACGAUGAGAACUAGGUGUCGUGGGUGUUGACCCCCGCGGUGCCGUAGCUAACGCAUUAAGUGCCCCGCCUGGGGAGUACGGCCGCAAGGCUGAAACUCAAAGGAAAUUGACGGGGGCCCGCACAAGCGGUGGAGCAUGUGGUUUAAUUCGACGCAACGCGAAGAACCUUACCUAGGCUUGACAUGCACGGAAAUCUCGCAGAGAUGCGGGGUCCGUAAGGGCCGUGCACAGGUGGUGCAUGGUUGUCGUCAGCUCGUGUCGUGAGAUGUUGGGUUAAGUCCCGCAACGAGCGCAACCCACGUUUUUAGUUGCCAUCAUUUAGUUGGGCACUCUAGAGAGACUGCCGGUGACAAACCGGAGGAAGGUGUGGAUGACGUCAAGUCAGCAUGCCCCUUACGCUCUGGGCUACACACGUACUACAAUGCUUCGGACAAAGGGCAGCAAGCGCGCGAGUGCAAGCCAAUCCCAUAAAACCGAGGCUCAGUUCAGAUUGCAGG
rnacentral:rRNA from 1 species